CUUUACAAGUAAUUCUCAAGACUAUUCUAAAAAUCUAAGAUCAAUAAAUCUAAUCUUUAAAGUGUUUCAUUGAGUAUAAUCAUUGUAUCCUUGAUUGAUAGAUUAAUAUCCUUCCAUAAAAUUAUCUCAAAUUCUACUGAUUAAUUUUAACACGUCAUGUUUAAUCUGAGCAUAAAAAUCUUUUAAAAGCAUGAAUAUUAAUUCUUUUGAACUAUCUCUCAUAAGUCAAAUAUAAAAU
rnacentral:lncRNA from 1 species